GAAACUCUGUGCUCCUCCCCACCUGCCUUGCCCUGUGCAUCUCCUCAUCUAGCUGCUCGUCUGCAUCCUUUAUUAAUAUAACAAACCAGUAAAUGGUCUCUGUCGCCCAGGCUGGAGUGCAGUGGUGCAACCAUGGUUCACACAGCCUCAACCUCCUGGGCUCAGGCGAUUCUCCCAUCUCAGCCUCCAGAGCAGCUGGGACUACAGGUAAAGCACCUCGUCUGAGAAACAGUGAAGUCAGGUCCUCUAUGGGGAAAUGACACAUGCUCUCAUGCUGACCCUCUGAGACCUGGUUGAGAAAUGCCAGACCUCAAGGAGACAGGACAGGCUCUGAUGCAGAGAAGCUUGUCCUCAGUGCUCCAUCCCCGAAGGGAGCAAGUUGCUCCCCAUUCAUGACUCAAAACACCCUGGAGGAAGAUUAUGUUUAUCGGUUCUAUAGUAAACUUCCACCUUGUGAAAUGACUUCGGAUGUUUGUUAAUACUGAGUGGAGGAAGAAGAGAAUCACCACAUAUCAUAUUUAGAGGUCCUGCAAAAAGGGCAGAGCGAGUUUCAUGUUUUGAGUGCAGCAGAUGCAUGGGCAAAGCAUCACACAGCUGCUCCACGGAAGUGACAAUGAGCCUUGUCUUUCACACGUAACUCCAGGAACCAGGGGAAACAAAACCAAUUCCACCCAGAGGUACAGACAAAGAAGAGCACCCUCCCAAAGGAGCCCGCAUGAUAAGUGGCCACGGCGAACAUCACUGUGAUCAGUCAGAAAGGCAGGUAAAUAAAAAUCAAAAGGGCGUUCGAGGCAGCCGCAUUGACUCACUUUGCAGACA
rnacentral:lncRNA from 1 species